CUCUCUCUCUCUCUCUCUCUCUCUCUCUCUCUCUCUCUCUCUCUCUCUCGUCUCCUAUCUUGUAGAAAUGUCUUCAUACUGCAGCAGUGGUGCCAGAAAUGAGACAAGAGUCAAAAAAUUCGAAAUAUGUCACUAUACGCAUACAAUUGACGAAGCAUAUCCGUGAGCACUCGUAGCUUCGGGCAACUUCGGUCGCACUCGGUCACUCGCCACAAUUGACGAAAUGCGUACUCGGAUGUGGACUCGGUAAUCUAAAGAAAAGAUCUCGGUAGUCUAAAGACUUUUAAGACACUAGCACGGAAUGCUAGAGGGUUCGACUCCUGGACGAGAUAGAUUGUGUUGAAAGUCUGAUAAUAAUGGCGUGCAAUCAUAUUUUUCAUAUACAUUCAUUUAAAAAAUUCAUGUAUGUAUUAGUUUAACAUCUAACUUUGACCGUUGAGUGGCGUUUCUCGUACUUAGGUGAUGUAAGUCACAUAAACGGUCUUGUUUCCAAUCUUAUUACUAUUUCUUUAUUUAAAUA